rnacentral:lncRNA from 1 species
UCAGUGACACCUAGUAAUAUGUAGCGGCAACCCAUCAAAAUUGAAUAAUGAAUCUCUAUAUACAAUUAUCGUGUAGUUCGGUUCUUCUAUCGUGAGUCCCGACAAUAUGCAGGUCAAAGAUAACUCAUCAAAUCCAUUCAUCCAUCAUAUAUCAGAUUCAAUCGAUCCGAGUCCAUGUGAAAUCUUAUGAAAUUUUUUUUUCAUCAUUCACCUACCAUGGCCAUGAAUUUUAGGACUCAGUUUGAUGAA